ensembl:lncRNA
UAAAUUCAUGUUUUCCCCAGAUGAGUGACAACUCCAGAGAAGGGAAUGUGGGAGGGCUUUCUAGAAGGAGAAGACAGCUUGGCCAAAGGUUCAGAGGUGCUGACGUGAGGGUCUGCUCGAGAGGAAGUGAUUUUCCCCAUUGCUCACAGCUGGACAUUACAUGUCAAGGAUGCUCUCAGAGGACUGGGAAAAGGUUCAGAGGUCCACAGAUAUGAUCCUUCUACUUGGGCUCCCGAAGCAAGCAGAAAGAUCC